rfam:Granulicatella elegans ATCC 700633 genomic scaffold supercont2.1, whole genome shotgun sequence.
AGGGCUUUUAAAUUCAUCCCGUGAGGUGAAAAAGGCGAUCAUAGUUCAAGUUUAUAUUUCUAGGAGAAUUUUUUAUGCAUAGAAAAAAUUUUCCUAUAUGAAAGCAGCCCUUUUGCAAACAAAAAUAAAUAGGGUUGCUUUUUUGU